GCAGGGCGUCACCAGCCCGCGUCUCCGGGGUCUCCAGGAUCACUUGUAACCGAGGGACAUACGUGGUCACCUGUAGCCCGGGACCCCAGCGCAGCAGCCGGGCCAGCUCUGCGUUGCCCCCAUCCCUCACCAGCAGCCUCCGCUAAAAAAGCUGGCGGAUCUGGGAAGGCCGCGAUGUCUCCAGCCGGCCAGGACCACAAGGCUAUUAACCCAGCUGCGUCACGGUCGCUGAGGCCGCUGCGCAGCAGAGGAAACCGGAGCUGGGACCACAGGACUCUCCCUGCAUGCUACCCCCGCCCGCGUCCCCAGCGCCCCGCUUCCCCAAAGCCCUGAGUCCCCAGCUAGCCCACCGCAGAACAUACCCCGGACUCUAGGUUUCCUGGCCGAUAGAGAGCAGAGCUGAGAGGACGAAGAAUCUACUGUGCCCUGAGCCUCAAAUACCUGAGGGGCGGGGGAAGCGGGCGGAGUCUACAGCCUGGCCACAGCCCUUAGGCAGGGGCAGAGGACAAGGCCAGACUAGGACUCACUGAGCUGCCCAGGCUGGCCUUGAACCUACUUUCUGGUCCAGACUUAUUCUACUUACUGAAUGGGCCAGGAGCCACUUGGAGACAGAGAGAGAGAAGACACAGUCUCGGCCUCAGUACAGAUGUGCACACAGAUGAAAUAUGGUGUGUUAUGUGCAGUACCAGUGCUGAAUAUAAGGGGCA